rnacentral:misc_RNA from 1 species
AACGCACCUUGCGCUCCUUGGUAUUCCGAGGAGCAUGCCUGUUUGAGUGUCAUGAAAUUCUCAACCCUUCCUGCUUUUAUGAGCUAGUUGGGAUUGGAUUUGGAAGUUGCUGGUUCUUGUGAAUCGGCUCUUCUUAAAUAUAUUAGCAGUUCUUUGCUGUCCAUCAUUAGUAUGAUAAUUAUCUAUACUAUUGAUAACAGUGUCUCUUAUUACAAGAGGAGAUUCUGCUUCUAAUCGUCUACUAUGACAAUUUUUGACAACUUUGACCUCAAAUCAGGUAGGACUACCCGCUGAACUUAA